AACGAACGCUGGCGGCAUGCCUAACACAUGCAAGUCGAACGAGACCUUCGGGUCUAGUGGCGCACGGGUGCGUAACGCGUGGGAACCUGCCCUUAGGUUCGGAAUAACUCCCCGAAAGGGGUGCUAAUACCGGAUAAUGUCUUCGGACCAAAGAUUUAUCGCCUUUGGAUGGGCCCGCGUUGGAUUAGCUAGUUGGUAGGGUAAAAGCCUACCAAGGCGACGAUCCAUAGCUGGUCUGAGAGGAUGAUCAGCCACACUGGGACUGAGACACGGCCCAGACUCCUCGGGGAGGCAGCGGUGGGGAAUAUUGGACAAUGGGCGAAAGCCUGAUCCAGCAAUGCCGGGGGGGGGAUGAAGGCCUUGGGUUUUUAAAGCUCUUUUCCCCGGGAUGAAAAUGACGGUACCGGGAAAAAAAGCCCCGGCAAACUCCGG
rnacentral:rRNA from 1 species